AUACGGAGGAUCCGAGCGUUAUCCGGAUUUAUUGGGUUUAAAGGGAGCGUAGGCGGACGCUUAAGUCAGUUGUGAAAGUUUGCGGCUCAACCGUAAAAUUGCAGUUGAUACUGGGUGUCUUGAGUACAGUAGAGGCAGGCGGAAUUCGUGGUGUAGCGGUGAAAUGCUUAGAUAUCACGAAGAACUCCGAUUGCGAAGGCAGCCUGCUGGACUGUAACUGACGCCGAUGCUCGAAAGUGUGGGUAUCAAACAGGAUUAGAUACCCUGGUAGUCCACACAGUAAACGAUGAAUACUCGCUGUUUGCGAUAUACAGUAAGCGGCCAAGCGAAAGCGUUAAGUAUUCCACCUGGGGAGUACGCCGGCAACGGUGAAACUCAAAUGAAUUGACGGGG
rnacentral:rRNA from 1 species